AAUUUUCCUGAUUGCCUUUGUAAUAAAAACUGAGAGGAUAUUCGUCAUCCCUGGCUGAGCUGCACUGAAUUCUACUCUUUUAUACAUGUAAUAAAACAGCAAACAACAUCAAAAUACAUUAUUAAUUAGGCAUGAAUUUCUUAAAAUGGUUUACAUCAUUUCAUUUAACUUCAGAGCUUGCAGACAUUAAUAGUAAGUCACCACAAAGCUACCAUUGAUUUAUAAUGCACAUUACCACAUCAAGCCUGGCCCAAGGACUCUGGGCCCAGAAGGAAAAACAGCCAUGGCAGAAAUAUGCUGAAAACAUAUCUGUAUUCACAGAAAACAAUUAGGCUUAAUGUAAUUAGAGUGAACAUUCAGGUUCAUUUUAUUCAAAGGUAAUGUUUCUGCCCUUGAAGUUCCAUGUAGAAAAGGGUCCUUGGAGUUAGAACACUGUGGAAGGUGAUAUAAUUUCACUUGGCCCUCGGCUAUGUAAGGUAAACAUUUUACAUUAUUGCACAGUAACAAAAAUUUACAGCCAUAGAUAACACAGGAUCUGAUCAACGUUAACACACCUGCUGUUUAAGGCUUACCCACAUUGGAAAGCAAUCAUUUCCAGGAUGGAGAUCAAAUAUCUUAACACAGUGUCACCUGUGUGAGUUGCUAGAAAAGACCUCUCAUUUAAAAAUCUGUUCAUAGAACGUGCUUUCACAUUUUUCAGCCUCUUUUCACUUGUGUGCUAGACGGAGGCACUUUAAGAGCUAUUAACUGUAGUCUCAAGAGUACAAGACAUUGAGUUUCUUCAGUCAUUGGUAAAUAUGGCAAGGAAUUAAAAUGAAAUUAGAUUAAAAAGAAAGUAAACAAAUCACUGAAUCAGAAAAUUUAGCCAAAUCUUGUAAAAAUCACUGGUCUCUGAUUUAAAGAUCCCCCCCGCCAAAAAACAAACAAACAAAAAAAAUUAGUAGCUGUCACUCAUCUAUUGCCAGAUGGGUAAACACUACUACAUCAUUCUCAUGUUAAGGUAUAACGGUUUUGCUGUUUGGGCUUGUAAACGUUUGGGCUUGUAAACGUUUUAAAACAUUGGCGAAUAAAGUACUUUGAAUUAUGUUUCGAGUAGUGUUUCAAAGUAUAUUAUACACGGGUUUCAAAUAGAAAAACUAAAAGGUGGAAUAAAACAAUUUGGAAGAGUUUAGUAAAGCGUAUAAAAAUUAAAGGACUAAAAAACCCACUUCAUUUUAAAUGUGUAAAAAUAAAUCGCAUCCAUUCGUGGGAAUCCAGUGACUUUUUCCUUUUCUUUCUUUCUUUUUUGGUUUUAGUUAGCUGGUACGUACUGCACCCUCCACAACACGUUGGAAAUUAGGUCCUGGUACACACUAAGGAAUAUCCAGCCAGGUAAAUACAUGAGGGUGAUGAGGCCCAUAAAAUUGAGCGGGUAGUGAGAAUAGUCCCAGGAACAAGCCCCGCACGUGCGGAGUCCCAGACCCCAGGACAGCUCCCACACGUAGAUGAAGAUCACGUAGAUGGGCACCCGCUUCCAAGUGCCCCAACCGCGGCUGUAGUGGAGGUGGAAGUAGAGCUUUUCCACCACGAAACUGCAGCUGCCGUACAUAAAGAAGGACCAGAGCGACGUGUGGCCGCUGGUUGUCCCGUCCCCCUGCCCCAGUACGUUGAAGAAGAAGGUGAAGAAGAUCUCAUCCAGAAAGCCGUGCAUUCCGAAGAAAAGAAAGCGGGGCCGCCUCUGUCGCCCGUACCGCAAGCGCAGGAAGCGCUUCAGGAACACUUGGCAGUGGUAGAGCGCCAGCACGUACUGCAGCGCCAGGUCCAGCGCCCCUGGCGCCACCGCGACCCCCGCCCCGCCGCCCAGGCUGAGUAGUAGCGCCUGGCCCGCUAGGGUCUGCAGCCCCACGUGGGCCGAGGGGUAGAGGAGGAAAUUGAAGACGAAGGCGUUGGGACAGCGCCGCUGCUGCAGAUGGUGUAUCCCUUCCUGUCUGCUGAUCCACUGGGGCUGUCCCAGAAAGAGAACUACAACGCUACUCCUUCCCAUGCCUUCCUUGUCCACAGUGAUGGAAUGUUGAAUGACAAUCUAAUGAAUGACUAAAGUUGACAGCACUGCCUUUGGAAGCUAUUACUGCCAGAAAAGAGAAGUGAUAUUACAGGAUUUGACGGGAAGGCAAAGGAAGGGAAGACAAGAAGAAGGAGAAGAAAGAUUUUAUAAUCAUCAUAAUAACAAUAGUACAUGGUCAUGCAUUGCUUAAUGAGAGGGAUACAUUCUGAGAAACGUGUUAUAAGGUGAUUUCAUCAUUGUGUGAACAUCAUAGCAUGUACUUACACAAACUUUGAUGGUAUAGCCUACUACACACCUAGGCUGUAUGGUAUAGCCUAUUGCUCCUAGGAUACAGACCUGUACAGCAAGUUACUAUGUUGAAUACUGCAGGCAGUUGUAACACAAUGGUAUUUGCCUACCCAAACAUAUCUAAACACAGGCAGGGUCUUGCUGUGUUGUCCAGGUUUGAUGGAGUGCAGUGGUGCAAUCCUGGCUCACUAUAACCUCUACCUCCCGGGCUCAAGGGAUAGUCUCAUCUUAGUUUCCUGAGUAGCUGGGACUACAG
rnacentral:lncRNA from 1 species